rnacentral:rRNA from 1 species
AUUGAACGCUGGCGGCAUGCCUUACACAUGCAAGUCGAACGGCAGCACGGGUGCUUGCACCUGGUGGCGAGUGGCGAACGGGUGAGUAAUACAUCGGAACAUGUCCUGUAGUGGGGGAUAGCCCGGCGAAAGCCGGAUUAAUACCGCAUACGAUCUACGGAUGAAAGCGGGGGACCUUCGGGCCUCGCGCUAUAGGGUUGGCCGAUGGCUGAUUAGCUAGUUGGUGGGGUAAAGGCCUACCAAGGCGACGAUCAGUAGCUGGUCUGAGAGGACGACCAGCCACACUGGGACUGAGACACGGCCCAGACUCCUACGGGAGGCAGCAGUGGGGAAUUUUGGACAAUGGGCGAAAGCCUGAUCCAGCAAUGCCGCGUGUGUGAAGAAGGCCUUCGGGUUGUAAAGCACUUUUGUCCGGAAAGAAAGCCUUGGCCCUAAUACGGUCGGGUGAUGACGGUACCGGAAGAAUAAGCACCGGCUAACUACGUG